UAGAAUUCAGAAUAUGAAUAGCCUGAAGAUCACAGUGGUGCACGUUUUUGAGAUGUCCUUAGGAAACCUGAAAUGUGCUUCUAAACAUUCUGGAAAAAAAAAGUCUAAGAACAACUCAUAAGACAGUAGGCCCUGAAGUUGCCAUGCUGGAAAAUCAGCCAAGAACAAAAAUCCACGUAGAAUGAGAAGUGCAGCCAUUCUAGCUGUACCUGUGAAGUCCAUUUCCAAGCUGACCUGCUCAGUUGAAUGCAACACAUACGUGAGCUCAGUUCCAGCCUCUGUGUCUUUGUAUUGUUUGUUUUCUGUUCCUGGCAUCAACUGA
rnacentral:lncRNA from 13 species